rnacentral:sRNA from 1 species
CGGCCUGACAACCAUUAUUAUUACAACCACCACCGAAACCACAGGUAACGGGGCGGGCUGACGCAUCUUAAAAAACAAAUGAAAAAAGCCCGCAUCCAAUAAGAUGCGGGCUUUUUUUU